rnacentral:rRNA from 1 species
AUUGAACGCUGGCGGCAUGCUUUACACAUGCCAGUCGAACGGCAGCGCGGGCUUCGGCCUGGCGGCGAGUGGCGAACGGGUGAGUAAUACAUCGGAACGUGCCCAGUAGUGGGGGAUAGCUCGGCGAAAGCCGGAUUAAUACCGCAUACGACCUGAGGGUGAAAGCGGGGGAUCUUCGGACCUCGCGCUAUUGGAGCGGCCGAUGGCAGAUUAGCUAGUUGGUGGGGUAAAGGCCUACCAAGGCGACGAUCUGUAGCUGGUCUGAGAGGACGACCAGCCGCACUGGGACUGAGACACGGUCCAGACUCCUACGGGAGGCAGCAGUGGGGAAUUUUGGACAAUGGGCGAAAGCCUGAUCCAGCAAUGCCGCGUGUGUGAUGAAGGCCUUCGGGUUGUAAAGCACUUUUGGCGGGAACGAAAAGGACUGUGCCAAUACCACGGUUCGAUGACGGUACCCGCAGAAUAAGCACCGGCUAACUACGUG